UUGGAGAUUUCCAAACCAUUUACCUAGCAAAAGCAAACCAACUUUUUGUUUGGCAAAAUUCAAAGUAAAGUCGAUAAAACAAACUAAAAUUUAUUUGUAAACCAUUUUCUUCCGUGAUACUAUUUAACUUUAUUUUAUAAUUCUUACAGAUGGCCCGGUCGUGAAUUUAGAUGCACUCAUUUGGAAAUGAUUAAGUUUAUUUUCACAGGUAUUUAGCACGAUUAGGGUCUUCUUUAGUCGAGUGGUUAGAGUUAGCGGCUA